rnacentral:sRNA from 1 species
CGGCACCUUCUCUCCGCCAGCGGGGCGAAGGGGACUCGUUGCGCCAACGGCUUGUUCCUUCUCCCCGUCUAAAACGGGGAGAAGGUGCCGGCAGGCGGAUG